rnacentral:rRNA from 1 species
UACGAAGGGGGCUAGCGUUGCUCGGAAUCACUGGGCGUAAAGGGCGCGUAGGCUGCCGAUCAAGUCGGGGGUGAAAGCCUGUGGCUCAACCACAGAAUUGCCUUCGAUACUGUUUGGCUAGAGACCGGAAGAGGUUAGUGGAACUGCGAGUGUAGAGGUGAAAUUCGUAGAUAUUCGCAAGAACACCAGUGGCGAAGGCGGCUAACUGGUCCGGUUCUGACGCUGAGGCGCGAAAGCGUGGGGAGCAAACAGG